CCAUAAUUGUUAGAUAUAAUAUCUUUUCCAACUUUUUGUUAUUUUUAGCUUGAGUUUGUAACAACUUUUAAGAAUAUCUUUCAUGACAGUUGUUUUCUAUUUGUUUGAUGUGUUUGAGCUUUUGAUUUUGCCAUUUUAUAAAGGACUUUCCGUUUUGAAUUUCCCUUUGAGUUCGGUAUUUUUGUUAUUUUACUUUUUUCAAGUAGCAAAGUUGAUGAACAUCUUGAUGAAAAUAGAUUGAUUUUUGGUGUUUAACACCACUUUCAGCACGAUUGGGUAAAUCUUGGCUGCCAGUUUUUAUUGGUGGAGAAAAUCAGAGUGCAUGAAGAAAUCCUGACAAAAAACUUGCAACCUUAAUCAAUUAAGAUUGGAGUUGAACACAUGGUGAAAAUUAAAGUACUUUUAAUAUGUUAUUGAAAUAUGUUUGGAUUUUUUGUUAUUGAAUUUUUAAAAAAUUUUAAUGAUACUAUAUUUUGUAUUUUUGUUAAAUAUCAAGAAGGAUGCGGAGUCCCAACAGGGUGAAAUUUAGGGUAAAGGGAGGUAAUACCCCUGUUUAACUCUUCAUACUUGUAGGGAACAUACAUUUUUAUUUACUUAAAUAUUCAUAUUUUUAAAAGUUUGUUUUUGUUAAAUAUCAGAUGUUUACUAGCUAAAAUUGACUAUUAUUUAGAGCUCUGUAAAUAAAAAAAAUGUAAGCAGAGGUCUAGAUAAUAGAUUUGUAGGGUGGGAAAAUUCAUGGGUCACUACAAAUGAUUUGGUAAAAUUUUCAAAAAAAGUGAUUAUUUGAAAGUGCAUCUGAUAUUUUUUAUAUGUAUAACUAUAUUUUCUAAAAACAAAUGGACAAAAAUAUAGAUUGACAGUAAGAUAAUGAGGACAGCCAUCUUGGCACCCAGGAGAGCAGCUCCAUGGAAGAUGGUCAAUUAAAUCUUCAACCAAUUCUGAGGCUUUAACCUGAAAAUUAUGUAGUUGUUGUAAUUACAAGGUUUUCAUGGUGUUGGGAGUAAGACUUGGAUAUCUGACACUGUUAACAUGUUGGUUAGCAUCACAGCGUUUCCAUAGGGUUAUUUGCUGGGAUUAGUAAUUAGAGCUGUUUUAAGAUGAACGUGUUACUGUUGUUGCCUUGUAUGGUCAAAUCCUCAGACAAUAAUCCUGCAAACCUUCAGAUGAACUGUUGCUACCGUUUUAGUAGAAUCCAUAGACCGCAGUCUUGGAAGCAGAAAAAUGAAUU